CGACACGUCAGUGAAUCAAAAGAGGCAUCUGUAAAGAGUUGGCUCAAGAUUCAGUGUUAUCAUGGAUCAAAUUCAGCAAGCCAUAGAACCAUGCAAGGAGUUUUGUAAAGAUUCCUUUCGUCUAGUAAAAAGAUGUACUAAACCUGACAGAAAAGAAUUUCAAAAAAUAGCAAUGGCUACAGCUAUCGGAUUUGCCAUUAUGGGAUUUAUUGGUUUCUUUGUUAAACUUAUUCACAUACCAAUAAAUAAUAUCAUUGUACAAUAGUUUGUGUUAA